rnacentral:rRNA from 1 species
AGAGUUUGAUCCUGGCUCAGGACGAACGCUGGCGGCGUGCUUAACACAUGCAAGUCGAACGAGACGAUUGAAAGCUUGCUUUUGAAAGUCGAGUGGCAAACGGGUGAGUAACGCGUAGACAACCUGCCGCAAAGAUGGGGACAACAGUUCGAAAGGACUGCUAAUACCGAAUGUUGUAUCUUUCCCGCAUGGGAGAGAUAUUAAAGAUGGCCUCUACUUGUAAGCUAUCGCUUUGCGAUGGGUCUGCGUCUGAUUAGCUGGUUGGUGGGGUAACGGCCUACCAAGGCGACGAUCAGUAGCCGGUCUGAGAGGAUGAACGGCCACAUUGGAACUGAGACACGGUCCAGACUCCUACGGGAGGCAGCAGUGGGGAAUCUUCCGCAAUGGGCGAAAGCUGACGGAGCAACGCCGCGUGAGUGAAGAAGGGUUUCGGCUCGUAAAGCUCUGUUGACGGGGACGAAUGUGCGAAAUGCGAAUAGUUUUUCGCAAUGCAGGUACCCGUCGAGGAAGCCACGGCUAACUACGUGCCAGCAGCCGCGGUAAUACGUAGUUGGCGAGCGGUUGUCCGGAAUUAUUGGGCGUAAAGGGAGCGCAGGCGGGAAGGCAAGUCAGUCUUAAAAGUGCGGGGCUCAACCCCGUGAUGGGAUUGAAACUGUCUUUCUUGAGUGCAGGAGAGGAAAGCGGAAUUCCUAGUGUAGCGGUGAAAUGCGUAGAUAUUAGGAGGAACACCAGUGGCGAAGGCGGCUUUCUGGACUGUAACUGACGCUGAGGCUCGAAAGCGUGGGGGGCGAACAGGAUUAGAUACCCUGGUAGUCCACGCCGUAAACGAUGAGUGCUAGGUGUAGGAGGUAUCGACCCCUUCUGUGCCGGAGUUAACGCAAUAAGCACUCCGCCUGGGGAGUACGGUCGCAAGACUGAAACUCAAAGGAAUUGACGGGGGCCCGCACAAGCGGUGGAGUAUGUGGUUUAAUUCGACGCAACGCGAAGAACCUUACCAGGGCUUGACAUUGAGUGGAAGAUCUAGAGAUAGAUCCCUCCCUUCGGGGACACGAAAACAGGUGGUGCAUGGCUGUCGUCAGCUCGUGUCGUGAGAUGUUGGGUUAAGUCCCGCAACGAGCGCAACCCCUAUCAUUUGUUGCCAGCACGUAUAUGGUGGGAACUCAAAUGAGACUGCCGCGGACAACGCGGAGGAAGGCGGGGAUGACGUCAAGUCAUCAUGCCCCUUAUGUCCUGGGCUACACACGUACUACAAUGGGAUGGACAGAGAGCAGCGAACCCGCGAGGGCAAGCGAACCCCACAAACCGUCUCCCAGUUCGGAUUGCAGGCUGCAACCCGCCUGCAUGAAGUCGGAAUCGCUAGUAAUCGCUGGUCAGCAUACAGCGGUGAAUACGUUCCCGGGCCUUGUACACACCGCCCGU